rnacentral:lncRNA from 1 species
AUGCACCAUAAAUCUCCAGGAUGCAGCUGUGACUGGAUUAUUUAUAGCUCCAGUCUUACAUCUCUAACUCGAAACUGUCACACAAAGGGAAAGGUAAUGAAAUCUCACCUCCCCUGCCUGUCCCUCACUCCACACCGCAGGGCCUUCCAGAGCCUGUGGCUGAAGGAGGGAGGAAAGGCCUUCCCCUCUGCUGCCUCCCUCCCUUCCUUGCUCCCUCUGUCCCUUCCUCUGUCGUCACACACACACUUCGCAGCGCUACGUUCCCUCUCAGACACAGCCUCUCACGUUUCUCUCUCACGCAUACAUUUCCUCACAGAUGCAGACAUUUCUGUCCAACCUCUCCCUCCCGCUCAGCUCGCCCUGCCCGGGGCCCCUCCUAUCCCUGCAGGCACACUCGCACAUGCCUGCCCUUUUCCUUCCAAGCCACCGCUGUCUCCCUGCGUGGCUCACUCCCUUCCACCGUGUUUGCCUCUUUGCUUUGUCAAUGAAGACGCGGGCACAUUAACGAGGAGGCCUGUCCUCUGCGGAGGCACACCAGCUCCUUGUCGCUCACUGGCAGAAGUGUCAGCUCACAUUCAUCUUACUCUGCCUGUAAGAGUCCCAUUGGCAUUGCCUCCCCAAGUGGGACCCAUUUUGUGGCACGUGGCUGGGACCACACGUAUCCCUGGGCUUGACAUACACAGACACACAGGAAACAUCGGCCACAGAACGUGCCUCUCCCACUGCAGGGAGGAGCAUCUAAGGAUGUGCUCUGCGAGUUCCACGAAGGGCCCCGGGUGUGGUAUUUCAUGGUGCAGAGGUGAAGUUCCUCCUCCCUCCUGUUUUAUUGUCUCACAGUUUCCUAUGAGGCAGUCCCUCUGCUACCCCAUCCCACAGAUGCCAGUGGAAACUCUGAGCCCCGUGCAAGCUCCCAUGGAGACCCAAGGCCCAGCCUCUCUCCCUGCCCGGCCUUCCACCCCCAGGCCCACAAUCAUCAGAAAGCAGCACUUCCCACUGCAGCCUUGCCUUGACGUGGCCCACAGCUCACUCCAUCCAGACAGUGUGUGUGUGUGUGUGUGUGUGUGCAUGUGUGCGCGCGCUUCUUGUGCUGGAUGA